rnacentral:rRNA from 1 species
UCGGGAAUUUUGGGCAAUGGGCGAAAGCCUGACCCAGCAACGCCGCGUGAAGGAUGAAGUAUUUCGGUAUGUAAACUUCGUAAGAAUAGGAAGAAUAAAUGACGGUACUAUUUGUAAGGUCCGGCUAACUACGUGCCAGCAGCCGCGGUAAUACGUAGGGACCAAGCGUUGUUCGGAUUUACUGGGCGUAAAGGGCGCGUAGGCGGCAAUUCAAGUCAUCUGUGAAAUCUCCGGGCUUAACUCGGAACGGUCAGAUGAUACUGCUUUGCUAGAGUGCAGAAGGGGCAAUCGGAAUUCUUGGUGUAGCGGUGAAAUGCGUAGAUAUCAAGAGGAACACCUGAGGUGAAGACGGGUUGCUGGGCUGACACUGACGCUGAGGCGCGAAAGCCAGGGGAGCAAACGGGGAUUAGAUACCCAAGUAGUCCCUGAGCGGGCUGGCAAGGCGCAU